rnacentral:rRNA from 1 species
GAUGAACGCUGGCGGCGUGCCUAAUACAUGCAAGUCGAGCGAACAGAUGAGGAGCUUGCUCCUCUGACGUUAGCGGCGGACGGGUGAGUAACACGUGGAUAACCUACCUAUAAGACUGGGAUAACUUCGGGAAACCGGAGCUAAUACCGGAUAAUAUAUUGAACCGCAUGGUUCAAUAGUGAAAGACGGUUUUGCUGUCACUUAUAGAUGGAUCCGCGCCGCAUUAGCUAGUUGGUAAGGUAACGGCUUACCAAGGCAACGAUGCGUAGCCGACCUGAGAGGGUGGUCGGCCCCACGGGACCUGAGACCCGGUCCAACCCCCUAGGGGGGGCAGCGUUAGGGAAUCUUCCGAAGGGGGCGAAAGCUUGACGGGGCAACGCCGCGUGAGUGAUGAGGGUCUUCGGUCCGUAAAACUUUUUUUUGGGGGAAGAACAAAUGUGUAAGUAACUAAGACCGUUUUGACGUUACCUAAUCAAAAAGCCCCGGCAAACUAGGU